AACUUUUAACAAUGGAUCUCUUGGCUCUCGCAUCGAUGAAGAACGCAGCGAAAUGCGAUAAGUAAUGUGAGUUGCAGAAUUCAGUGAAUCAUCGAAUUUUUGAACGCACCUUGCGCUCCCUGGUAUUCCGGGGAGCACGCCUGUUCGAGUGUCGUGAAAUUGUCAAACGGAGUUGCUUUUUUGUUUGUUGGCUUGGUGUUGGGCUUUGCAGUCCCCUUUGAUGGGGAUGGCUGGCCUCAAAAGCAUUAGCUGGCUUUUCAUGUGGCAUUGGUUCUACUCAGCGUGAUAAUGAUCUGACCGCCGAGGACAUCUUCCGAGAUGGCCAAUUCUCAUUUGGGCUGCUUCUAAUCUUGGUCGAGCAGAUUCUGAAUCUGUUCCACUUUUCAACUUUUGACCUCGAAUCAGGUGGGACUACCCGCUGAACUUAAGCAUAUCAAUAAGCGGAGGCU
rnacentral:misc_RNA from 1 species